GCCAUCGCUGGUGAGAUAGCCUGGGUGCCGGGACGGCAAGGAUCAGAGAGCAAAACGUGCGUUUUUCUCCACUUUGGUCGGGAGGUCAGCGUCUGGAGGGACGGAGCGAGUGACGCCGCCCGAACCCAGCUACCCGGAGUGCCCAGGCGCGCGGCCCGCCCCGGGACGCGUGGCGUCCUCCGCCCGCGUUUCCUCUUCCAAAACCAUCAUGCUGAAGGGCAACUCUGCUGCCGCCGCGUGCCCCCGGCCCGGAAGGAGGGGGCCGCUUCGCAUCUGGACAGGCUCGCGCGCCGCGGCCCGCGCCCAGGAUGGAGCCGGAUCCCUCCUGCAGCCGCGCCGCGGGGCCCGGGACGCGUGACCCUGAGCCCACUGCACCCCCGUGAGGCCGGCGCAGUCCUCCCCGUGCCCCCACCUCUCUCGGCGCCGACCAGACGCGGCCCCCGCUCUCACGAAGAGAGAAGCAGGGGGACCGCAGUGGAGCGGAGAAGCAGGGAUCCGGCCUGUAGCAACAGGACCGGUCCCCGGGUCGGGAAUGGGGAGGAGGGCAGACAGGGAGCCGCAGAAAACCCCAACAUCGGCAGCCCUCCCCCUCCCGGUGGGACCGUCCCGCCACCGCUUCCUGCCCGGGAUCAGCUUCCCAGCUGCAGCCACAGGAAAAAUCCGAGCCGCCCCUGCAGAUCCGCAGAGACCAGACGCUCGGCCCCGGGAUUUCCCCGUCCCGGGCCAGCCAUUCCGCAGCUCCGCACGCCUCCUUACCCGGACGCCGCACUCAGGAGCUCGCUCGCCGCCGGGACCAGUCCCGCUUCAGCCCAGUCGCCGGCCCGCCGCGUCCGCCUCCUCCCUCCGCUAGGUUUCAAAUUGAAAUUCCCUGGCUGGGGCCGUCAGAGGACUAGCGCCCCAGCCCCGCCCCCUCGCGGCGGAAGCUCCUCCCGCAUCCCCGCCGGACGCGCCCCCGGUGCGGAAACCCCGCGGGCCACGACACGCCCCCUACGGCCAGGCCACGCCCCGCCCCCUUCCCCGCUAGUCCGACCGACUCUUUCAGCGGGAUUAGCGGCUCGCGGUCGCCGGGUACCCAGCGCGGAAAGGACGCGUCUCGCCCUGGGAGCUACCCUAGAUAAUGACUGCUGA
rnacentral:lncRNA from 1 species